CUGGGAUGGCUGUAGCCAUCGGAGCUUGCCGAGGACCCACAGUCAUCACAGAGCAGUUCGCCACCCCAGGUCUGCUCAAGAUGAAGCUGUUCCUGGUCGUGGCACUCGUCCUGCUGGGGGCCAUCUCUGCUCGCCAGCUCCAUGAGGGCUCCCUGGAGCAGGAGGUACCAGCCGAGCAAGACGAGGAGGAGCCCGGGGAGCCAGAGCCACCAUGCCCCACAGAGAGCUAGAGCUUUAGGAUGAUAGAAUC